rnacentral:tRNA from 1 species
GGGGAUGUAGCUCAGUGGUAGAACACAUGCUUAGCAUGCAUGAGGUCCUGGGUUUGAUCCCCAGUAUCUCCA